GACCUAUAGCUUCCUUCAUCGAUUUAAAGCUUAAGUAUUUAACGCGUUAAUGCCAUAGUGCACUUGCAUGUUAACAAGUUGAUAAGAAAUGUUUAUUAAGUGUUAAUAUCUAUCUAAAUUAGUCGUCGUUUGUACAUAAAUACUAAUGUACAGGGUCAUGCGCAUCACGGACACAACCCUAUUCAUCGUCUCUUUCCACCUCAGUUUACCUUCGUCUCUCGAAUAUGAAGGACGUGGCAUGGAACAUCGACGAAUUGUAUCCAUGUAAAGUCAUGCGCAACACGGACACAACCAUAUUCAUCGUCUCUUUCCACCUCAGUUUACUUUCGUCUCUCGAAUAUCAAGGACGUGUGGUGAUACCACGACGAAUUUGAAUCCAUGUAAAGUCAUGCGCAUCACGGACACAACCCUACUCAUCGUCUCUUUCCAACACAGUUUACUUUCGUCACUCAAGUAUCAAGAAAGUGGUGUAAUACCUCGACAAAUUUGAAUCCAUGUAAAUUUACUUUCGUCUCUCGAAUAUCAAGGACGUGUGGUGAUACCACGACGAAUUUGAAUCCAUGUAAAGAGCAUGCGCGUUGCGAACCAACCCCUUUGGACCGCCUCAUUCUGACGCAGUUUAAUUUCAUCGCUCGAACACGACGGACGCGUCGUCCACUUCAACAGAUAUAAACAUUAAUUAAUACUUUUUAUCAUUUACACGUUGUUCCAAAUAUGUACGAUCAUAGUUAACAUUAACCGAUCGUUCUUCCAUAAGUGCGCGUGAAAGUACGGGGUGAGUCAAUUAAAAAAAUCUAGUAUAUUAAAUAUGUUCGAAAAUUUGAAUCAAUGAAAAAAAAAAUACU